UGGUGGGGAAAUAUUAGGACAAUGGGCGAAAGCCUGAUCCAGCCAUGCCGCGUGUGUGAAGAAGGUCUUCGGAUUGUAAAGCACUUUAAGUUGGGAGGAAGGGCAGUAAGUUAAUACCUUGCUGUUUUGACGUUACCGACAGAAUAAGCACCGGCUAACUUCGUGCCAGCAGCCGCGGUAAUAAAAA
rnacentral:rRNA from 1 species